GUCUGGGAAACUGCCUGAUGGAGGGGGAUAACUACUGGAAACGGUGGCUAAUACCGCAUAACGUCGCAAGACCAAAGAGGGGGACCUUCGGGCCUCUUGCCAUCAGAUGUGCCCAGAUGGGAUUAGCUAGUUGGUGAGGUAACGGCUCACCAAGGCGACGAUCCCUAGCUGGUCUGAGAGGAUGACCAGCCACACUGGAACUGAGACACGGUCCAGACUCCUACGGGAGGCAGCAGUGGGGAAUAUUGCACAAUGGGCGCAAGCCUGAUGCAGCCAUGCCGCGUGUAUGAAGAAGGCCUUCGGGUUGUAAAGUACUUUCAGCGGGGAGGAAGGUGUUGUGGUUAAUAACCGCAGCAAUUGACGUUACCCGCAGAAGAAGCACCGGCUAACUCCGUGCCAGCAGCCGCGGUAAUACGGAGGGUGCAAGCGUUAAUCGGAAUUACUGGGCGUAAAGCGCACGCAGGCGGUCUGUCAAGUCGGAUGUGAAAUCCCCGGGCUCAACCUGGGAACUGCAUUCGAAACUGGCAGGCUUGAGUC
rnacentral:rRNA from 1 species